AUUGAACGCUGGCGGCAUGCUUUACACAUGCAAGUCGAACGGCAGCGCGGGCUUCGGCCUGGCGGCGAGUGGCGAACGGGUGAGUAAUGCAUCGGAACGUGCCCAGUAGUGGGGGAUAGCCCGGCGAAAGCCGGAUUAAUACCGCAUACGACCUGAGGGUGAAAGCGGGGGACCGAAAGGCCUCGCGCUAUUGGAGCGGCCGAUGUCGGAUUAGCUAGUUGGUGGGGUAAAGGCUUACCAAGGCGACGAUCCGUAGCUGGUCUGAGAGGACGACCAGCCACACUGGGACUGAGACACGGCCCAGACUCCUACGGGAGGCAGCAGUGGGGAAUUUUGGACAAUGGGGGCAACCCUGAUCCAGCCAUGCCGCGUGCGGGAAGAAGGCCUUCGGGUUGUAAACCGCUUUGGUUCGGGAAGAAAUCCUCUGGGCUAAUACCCCGGGGGGAUGACGGUACCGGAAGAAUAAGCACCGGCUAACUACGUG
rnacentral:rRNA from 1 species